CCGUGCUGCCCUCCUUGGGCGUUUCCUCCCUAGACUUCGGGCCGCUCGCGAGGGCGGCCUUUCUUUUGUCCAGG
rnacentral:sRNA from 21 species